AUUACAAAGAGUGAGGACACUAUGUUUAUCUCAUCAAGAUAAUCCUUUUAUCAGGCACUUUGCAA
rnacentral:tRNA from 1 species